UACGAAGGGGGCUAGCGUUGCUCGGAAUCACUGGGCGUAAAGCGCACGUAGGCGGAUUGUUAAGUCAGGGGUGAAAUCCUGGAGCUCAACUCCAGAACUGCCUUUGAUACUGGCGAUCUUGAGUCCGGGAGAGGUGAGUGGAACUGCGAGUGUAGAGGUGAAAUUCGUAGAUAUUCGCAAGAACACCAGUGGCGAAGGCGGCUCACUGGCCCGGUACUGACGCUGAGGUGCGAAAGCGUGGGAGCAAACAGGG
rnacentral:rRNA from 1 species